ACAAGUCAAUCUAAGUUGCUUCAUUUGGGACCAAGUGAUUUUCUUAGAACAAAAACAUAAAUUCAAUCAACUGAAGUCAACUGAAGUUACAAGUCAAUCUAGUCAGUCGGUCAUUUUUUUUCACACGGGACAUUCAAUAAAUAGAUUCAACAAGAAAACACAUAUUCAGCGUAUUUUUAAUGAAAGAACAUGAAAAUAAACUAGUGACAAUGUUGUUUUGGGUAAAUAGAUUUAAUUUUUAAGUAUUCUAUUGAUACUUAUUGGUUAAGUAUUGGCAUAUACUUUGAUACAUCACUGCUGAAACUGAAACGUCAUUGCAUGAACAAAGUAAAAGUGUAAACAAUAAUAUGAGGUGCAGCAAAGACGAAAAGGUUAAUCGAAGAGAUGGAAAAACUAUCGAAUUCCACCAAGAAUUGAACACAUCGUCAACCUGCAAUCUCAACGAUUUGCCGCAACAAAAACUGCUAUCAUCACCACAUCGCGCCGUCAUCAGAAUUUUGUUAAGUUCCAGCUUACCAACAAGACGAUGAUGGGCCAAGUACUUCAAUGAACAACACAACACCAGCGAAAGAACGUCUCAAGAAAUAGACGAAGAGCGAUUUUGAUAGCAGAUUUGAUUGAUUGAGAUUAGAAGUGGCAAAUACAGUGACCAUUGCCUACUUUGAUAUCACCACUGAAAAACGGUAUCAAAGCUGCAGCUGAAAGUUUCGCUCAACAUCCCGAAAGCAAAGACACCGCACGCUCGUUUAAAUCGUUGAAUCGACAAUGAAAGAGCUAGGAAAGACAGUGAGGGAGGCAAUGCAAGAAGCAACAAAGGUAACAUUUACAUCAGACGGCACUGGCACAAUGAAGGUCACAAAAAUGUGGCUCGAUAAGUUUUAUUCGACUGCUUCCGUGGGUAAAAAUCCUGACACCAAUAAGCAUAUGCUGGAAUAAGGACGAUGAUAAACGAUAAAUCACCUAACGAUUUCAAAAACAACUAAAAUAUGAUAAUCAAAGCUUAAACGUAAAAUGUUCAAAUUGACCAAAAAAUAAAUUCAAGUUUUAUACAUAAAAA